GUGCCAGCCGCCGCGGUAAUACCGGCAGCCCAAGUGAUGACCGAUCUUAUUGGGCCUAAAGCGUCCGUAGCUGGCUGCGCAAGUCCGUCGGGAAAUCCACCCGCCCAACGGGUGGGCAUCCGGUGGAAACUGCGUGGCUUGGGACCGGAAGGUUCGACGGGUACGUCCGGGGUAGGAGUGAAAUCCCGUAAUCCUGGACGGACCGCCGAUGGCGAAAGCACGUCGCGAAGACGGAUCCGACAGUGAGGGACGAAAGCUAGGGUCUCGAACCGGAUUAGAAACCCUAGUAGUCC
rnacentral:rRNA from 1 species